rnacentral:rRNA from 1 species
GGUUAAGCGACUAAGCGUACACGGUGGAUGCCCUGGCAGUCAGAGGCGAUGAAGGACGUGCUAAUCUGCGAUAAGCGUCGGUAAGGUGAUAUGAACCGUUAUAACCGGCGAUUUCCGAAUGGGGAAACCCAGUGUGUUUCGACACACUAUCAUUAACUGAAUCCAUAGGUUAAUGAGGCGAACCGGGGGAACUGAAACAUCUAAGUACCCCGAGGAAAAGAAAUCAACCGAGAUUCCCCCAGUAGCGGCGAGCGAACGGGGAGGAGCCCAGAGCCUGAAUCAGUGUGUGUGUUAGUGGAAGCGUCUGGAAAGGCGCGCGAUACAGGGUGACAGCCCCGUACACAAAAAUGCACAUGCUGUGAGCUCGAUGAGUAGGGCGGGACACGUGGUAUCCUGUCUGAAUAUGGGGGGACCAUCCUCCAAGGCUAAAUACUCCUGACUGACCGAUAGUGAACCAGUACCGUGAGGGAAAGGCGAAAAGAACCCCGGCGAGGGGAGUGAAAAAGAACCUGAAACCGUGUACGUACAAGCAGUGGGAGCACGCUUAGGCGUGUGACUGCGUACCUUUUGUAUAAUGGGUCAGCGACUUAUAUUCUGUAGCAAGGUUAACCGAAUAGGGGAGCCGAAGGGAAACCGAGUCUUAACUGGGCGUUAAGUUGCAGGGUAUAGACCCGAAACCCGGUGAUCUAGCCAUGGGCAGGUUGAAGGUUGGGUAACACUAACUGGAGGACCGAACCGACUAAUGUUGAAAAAUUAGCGGAUGACUUGUGGCUGGGGGUGAAAGGCCAAUCAAACCGGGAGAUAGCUGGUUCUCCCCGAAAGCUAUUUAGGUAGCGCCUCGUGAAUUCAUCUCCGGGGGUAGAGCACUGUUUCGGCAAGGGGGUCAUCCCGACUUACCAACCCGAUGCAAACUGCGAAUACCGGAGAAUGUUAUCACGGGAGACACACGGCGGGUGCUAACGUCCGUCGUGAAGAGGGAAACAACCCAGACCGCCAGCUAAGGUCCCAAAGUCAUGGUUAAGUGGGAAACGAUGUGGGAAGGCCCAGACAGCCAGGAUGUUGGCUUAGAAGCAGCCAUCAUUUAAAGAAAGCGUAAUAGCUCACUGGUCGAGUCGGCCUGCGCGGAAGAUGUAACGGGGCUAAACCAUG